AGAACAGGGUCUCCUUGAGGGGCCUCUGCCUCUAUCCAGGAUUCUUGUUUUAUGACCAGGAGGCUGAGGUCCCUUACAGGCGGCCCCUUACUCU
ensembl:miRNA Mir665 microRNA 665